CCUACGGGAGGCAGCAGUGGGGAAUCUUGCACAAUGGACGAAAGUCUGAUGCAGCGACGCCUCGUGAGUGAUGAAGGUCUUCGGAUCGUAAAGCUCUUUCGACUGGGAAGAUAAUGACGGUACCAGGAGAAGAAGCUGCGGCUAACUACGUGCCAGCAGCCGCGGUAAUACGUAGGCAGCAAGCGUUGUUCGGAAUUACUGGGCGUAAAGAGUGUGUAGGCGGUGUCGUAAGUUUGGCGUGAAAUCUCCCGGCUUAACUGGGAGGGUGCGCCGAAGACUGCGAUGCUUGAGGAUUGGAGAGGAAAGUGGAAUUUCUGGUGUAGCGGUGAAAUGCGUAGAUAUCAGAAGGAACACCUGUGGUGUAGACGGCUUUCUGGACAAUUCCUGACGCUGAGACACGAAAGCGUGGGUAGCAAACAGGAUUAGAUACCCUGGUAGUCCACGCCCUAAACGAUGCAUACUUGGUGUGAGCCAUUCACUUGGUUCGUGCCGGAGCUAACGCGUUAAGUAUGCCGCCUGGGGGAGGUACGGUCGCGAAGGCGUGUUAACGUUACGUAAAGAAAGUUAGUACGGCGUUGAGACGNGCGACGGACGACGACGAGGGAGGAGG
rnacentral:rRNA from 1 species